AAACUGCGAUAAGUAGUGUGAAUUGCAUUUAGUGAAUCAUCGAAUCUUUGAACGCACCCUGCACUCACUGGUAUUCCGGUGAGUACGCCUGUUUCAGUAUCAUUGAAAACACACAAUCAAAACAUUUUCUUUGGUUUGAUUGGCUUCGGGUCUAUCAAAAAGUUUGGCUUGUUUCUUACAAGCCAAGCGGCCUGAAAUAUAUUGUCUGGCUAAUUGCAUCGUUGAUGAUCGCUAUUAGACUUUGGCUUUUUUAAAUGAACUGGAGGUUGAUUAACCAGUUUUAGCUUUAGUCAAAUGGUCAUUGUAAAAAAAAUCUCGAUCUUGGCUAGGUGUUUAUAGCCGAAAAUUUUUUUUUGGCUAUAACCGAAACCAAUAUAAUCACAUUUAGUUAUCGAUCUGAAAUCAGGUGGGACUACCCGCUGAACUUAAGC
rnacentral:misc_RNA from 1 species